rnacentral:rRNA from 1 species
UUUCCGUAGGUAAAGGUUUGCCUACCGGAGAUCCCCGCAGCGACUCUAAAGAACUGCGCUCAGUCGCCCCGAACGAUCGGGGCGGCGACGCUAUCAGUCUGCGCUGGAAGCCCCUCUCCUCGAGGGUCGACCAGCAGCUCGGGGACUCCCCCGAGUCCACAGAUCAAACGACGGCGGCCACUUCCGGUGGUUCAGAUAUGACCGGCCCCAACCGCUAAGCGGCUGGCGGGAUUUUUGCGGAACCUGCGGAAGGAUCAUU